rnacentral:misc_RNA from 1 species
GGGUUGUGAAGGAGGUGGUAGAGACACUUUUGAUAACCACAGUAUUUUAGAUAGUUUUUCGAUAGGCUAGUGGUGGCACAAAUAACACAGUUAUUUAAAAAGAUUAAAAAAAAAACUUAAUAGGCAUUUGUAGCAGGCCUCUGCAAUAUACAAACCCAAUAUGCUUAAAGUUUCUAGAACCAGAAGGUUUCUAUUCUUUUUUUUUUCUCUCU